rnacentral:rRNA from 1 species
ACAGCAGCCGCCACGGGAAUACGGAGGGAGCUAGCGUUGUUCGGAAUUACUGGGCGUAAAGCGCGCGUAGGCGGUUACUCAAGUCAGAGGUGAAAGCCCGGGGCUCAACCCCGGAACUGCCUUUGAAACUAGGUGACUAGAAUCUUGGAGAGGUCAGUGGAAUUCCGAGUGUAGAGGUGAAAUUCGUAGAUAUUCGGAAGAACACCAGUGGCGAAGGCGACUGACUGGACAAGUAUUGACGCUGAGGUGCGAAAGCGUGGGGAGCAAACAGGAUUAGAUACCCGCGUAGUCCCUGUCUCUUAUAC